rnacentral:rRNA from 1 species
AGCUAAAAGAAUAAAUAUUUUUAGUAUACCCUGCCCAGUGAUAAUUUUAACGGCCGCAGUACCUUGACUGUGCUAAGGUAGCAUAAUAAAUUGGCUUUUAAUUAAAGUCUGGAAUGAAUGGAAUUUUAAAAUUUAGCUGUCAUAAUAAUUAUUUUUUUGAAUUUAUUUAUUUGGUGAAAAUACCAAAAAGGUUAGUAAAAAGACGAGAAGACCCUAAGAAUUUAAAAUAUUUUUUGUUGGGGCGACAAAAAGACACAUAAACUCUUUUAUUAUAUCUUAUUUAACGAAUAAUUUUAAUUAAAAAUAAAUUACCUUAGGGAUAACAGCAUAAUUAGUUUUUUUACUGUUUAUGACCUCGAUGUUGGACUAGAAAAUUUUUUAGCUAGCUGCUAAAAAAUUUUGUUCUGUUCGAACAAUUAUUUUCU